AUUUAUAUAGUUUAUAUAAAACAUUACAUUUUCAUUGUAAAAAUAAAAAUAAAUGAAAUUUUUUAUAAAUA
rnacentral:tRNA from 1 species